rnacentral:piRNA from 1 species
UGGACUUUUAGCAUAGUGUGUCAGGUC